CGCCUGUUUAUCAAAAACAUCGCCUCUCGCCAACAAACUGAAGUAUUAGAGGUCCCGCCUGCCCAGUGACCAUGUGUUCAACGGCCGCAGUAUUUUAACUGCGCUAAGGUAGCGUAAUCACUUGUCCCUUAAAUAGGGACCUGUAUGAAUGGCACCACGAGGGUUUAACUGUCUCCUUCCCCCAGUCAAUGAAAUUGAUCUGCCCGUGCAGAAGCGGGCAUAUAUACAUAAGACGAGAAGACCCUAUGGAGCUUUAGGCAAAAGAUUAAACAUGUAAAGAAAAUCUAUUAAACCCAAGGGAACUAAAGACUCUUUAAACCUAAUGUAUAAUAAUCCGUCAUGCCUUCGGUUGGGGCGACCGCGGGGAAAAACAAAACCCCCACAUGGAACCGAAACACCUUCCAAACCAAGAACCACAAUUCUAAGCAACAGAACAUCUGACCACAAAUGAUCCAGGAAACACCUUAAACCUGAUCAAUGAACCAAGUUACCCUAGGGAUAACAGCGCAAUCCUCUCCCAGAGCCCAUAUCGACGAGAGGGUUUACGACCUCGAUGUUGGAUCAGGACAUCCUAAUGGUGCAACCGCUAUUAAGGGUUCGUUUGUUCAACGAUUAACAGUCCUACGUGAUCUGAGUUCAGACCGG
rnacentral:rRNA from 1 species